UACGUAGGGUGCAAGCGUUAAUCGGAAUUACUGGGCGUAAAGCGUGCGCAGGCGGUUUUGUAAGUCUGUCGUGAAAGCCCUGGGCUCAACCUGGGAAUUGCGAUGGAGACUGCAAGGCUUGAAUCUGGCAGAGGGGGGUAGAAUUCCACGUGUAGCAGUGAAAUGCGUAGAGAUGUGGAGGAACACCGAUGGCGAAGGCAGCCCCCUGGGUCAAGAUUGACGCUCAUGCACGAAAGCGUGGGGAGCAAACAGG
rnacentral:rRNA from 1 species